AGAGUUUGAUCAUGGCUCAGGAUGAACGUUGGUAGUAUACUUAACACAUGCAAGUCGAACGGGGUUGGAGUAAUCCAAUUCAGUGGCGAACGGGUGAGUAAUGCUUAUCUACUUGCCGAUUACUGCGGGGACUAUGGGCAACCAUAGAGAAUACCCCAUGUGCUGGCUUCGGCCAGGAAAGAGGGUCGCAAAAUUUUCGCUAAUCGAGAGGGAUAAGCCGUAUUAGCUAGUUGGUGGGGUAAUGGCCUACCAAGGCAAUGAUGCGUAGCCGGCCUGAGAGGGUGAACGGCCACAGGGAAACUGAGACACGGUUCCCACUCCAUUAGGAGGCAGCAGUGAGGAAUAUUCCGCAAUGGACGAAAGUCUGACGGAGUGAUACUACGUGGAGGACGAAACUUGGAAACAAGCGUAAACUUCCUUUUGUUGUAGAAGAAGAAUUGAAUCUAAUAAUUCAAUUUUGUACGGUAUACAUCGAAUAAGUCACGACUAACUAUGUGCCAGCAGUCGCGGUAAGACAUAGGUGGCGAACGUUAUCCGGAUUUAUUGGGCGUAAAGGAUGCGCAGGUGGUAGAGCAAGUUAUUAGUUAAAGUCGAGCUCAACUCAACGAAGGCUGGUAAAACUGUUCUGCUAGAGGAAAGAAGAGGUUGACGGAAAUCUAUGUGUAGGGGUGAAAUCCAUUGAUCUAUAGAGGACCACCAAAAAAGGCGAAGGCAGUUAACUAUUCUAUUCCUGACACUGAGGCAUGAAAGCGUGGGGAGCAAAACGGAUUAGAUACCCUAGUAGUCC
rnacentral:rRNA from 1 species